rnacentral:siRNA from 1 species
GAAUAUCACACAAAGGCCCCGCA